rnacentral:rRNA from 1 species
ACAGGUGGUGCAUGGUUGUCGUCAGCUCGUGUCGUGAGAUGUUGGGUUAAGUCCCGCAACGAGCGCAACCCCUACGUUUAGUUGCUAACGCGUGAAGGCGAGCACUCUAGACGAACUGCCGUUGACAAAACGGAGGAAGGUGGGAUGACGUCAAAUCAUCAUGCCCCUUAUGUUCUGGGCUACACACGUGCUACAAUGGCCGGUACAGACGGACGCAAAGCCGCGAGGUGGAGCAAAUCCUAAAAAGCCGGUCUCAGUUCGGAUUGCAGGCUGCAAUUCGCCUGCAUGAAGUCGGAAUCGCUAGUAAUCGCAGGUCAGCAUACUGCGGUGAAUACGUUCCCGGGCCUU